CGGAUCUCAAUGGGGGGCAUCCUGCGUCAGCCAAGCAACUGCCACUGAGAUGAAAUGUAAAUGCUAAUUGGUGGCUUUCAUCAGAAUAUACAAAGGCAAAAAACUUAUAAUAUCCAAACUUCACCCACAACCGUAACAGAAACGAAUCAGAUGAAUGGGAAGACUGCCUAGCAGAUGAUCUAAUAAAUCCGAGAUGUUGAUUAAGCACACAGAUAUUGUGCUGGUGUGAAGUUACGGAGCCCAAUGCAUACAUAUAAGUGGGGGAAUUGAAUUGUGACAGACCUGAUUCGAACGGAUGUCAUGUCAAAUAAAACAAGUGAAGCGCAUUAUGAGGUGAGGAAAUCUCCCUGUAUCCCCCUGUUCUUGUGUCUGGAAUAAAGGCCAAGAGAUUGGACUGUGAAAAGACCGUAG
ensembl:lncRNA